rnacentral:lncRNA from 1 species
UUAAAAUUAAAAAUCACAUAGUGUUAAAUGUCACAAGUUCAAAUCCCGACAAAUAUAUACAUUAAAAAGAAGAAGAAUAUAACUAAUGAGUUGAUAAAAACAAAAAUUGACCUAAAUCCAACCUAAAAGAUACUCGAUAAAGGCCAAACAAAAAAAACUUAAAAAGAGAAUAAAACUCAAACCUAAAAGAAAAACCUAAAUCCAACCUAAAAGAUCAAAAACAUAACUCCCAUAAAAAUAAUAAAAC